rnacentral:rRNA from 1 species
AGUGAACGCUGGCGGUAGGCCUAACACAUGCAAGUCGAACGGCAGCACAGUAAGAGCUUGCUCUUACGGGUGGCGAGUGGCGGACGGGUGAGGAAUACAUCGGAAUCUACUUUUUCGUGGGGGAUAACGUAGGGAAACUUACGCUAAUACCGCAUACGACCUACGGGUGAAAGCAGGGGAUCUUCGGACCUUGCGCGAUUGAAUGAGCCAAUGUCGGAUUAGCUAGUUGGCGGGGUAAAGGCCCACCAAGGCGACGAUCCGUAGCUGGUCUGAGAGGAUGAUCAGCCACACUGGAACUGAGACACGGUCCAGACUCCUACGGGAGGCAGCAGUGGGGAAUAUUGGACAAUAGGCGCAAGCCUGAUCCAGCCAUACCGCGUGGGUGAAGAAGGCCUUCGGGUUGUAAAGCCCUUUUGUUGGGAAAGAAAAGCAGCAGGUUAAUACCCCGCUGUUCUGACGGUACCCAAAGAAUAAGCACCGGCUAACUUCGUG